AUGAUUGUUCAUAAAGGAAUAUGUUGUGAGUGGCAACUCAUGUGCAUAAGAUUUCAUUUAACAGUGAGUGUUUGUUGCACUUGGUUUAAUGUUCUAUGCCAUAUAUCGCACAAAACACAAACAUUUUCAUUGAAGAAAAAGAAUUUGAACACAAGAAACAUAUAUCGCACAAAACACAAACAUUAA